UGGUGGUUCAGUAGGAGAAUUCUCACCUUCCACGCAGGAGACCCAGGUUCAAUUCCUGGCCA
rnacentral:tRNA from 1 species